rnacentral:rRNA from 1 species
GACGAACGCUGGCGGCGUGCCUAAUACAUGCAAGUCGAGCGGACUUUUCGAAAUGCUUGCUCUCCAUCAGUUUCGCCGCACGCGUGUGUGAAACGCGUACAAACCGCCCUGAUAAGGGCGGGAUAACCGUCAGAACGGUAUGCUUAUCCGAUAUCGACGAACCUCUCACAACGGUGGGUCGAAAAACGGCGAAAACUCCCCCUCCUGUAGAUGCCCGCGCCGCAUUAGCGCGUUGGUGGGGUAACGGCUCACCAAGGCGACGAUGCGUAGCCGACCUGAGAGGGUGAUCGGCCACACUGGGACUGAGACACGGCCCAGACUCCUACGGGAGGCAGCAGUAGGGAAUCUUCCGCAAUGGACGCAAGUCUGACGGAGCAACGCCGCGUGAGUGAGGAAGGCCUUCGGGUCGUAAAGCUCUGUUGCCAGGGAAGAACGGGUAGGGGAGUAACUGCCCUUGCCAUGACGGUACCUGAGAAGAAAGCCCCGGCUAACUACGUG